rnacentral:rRNA from 1 species
GGGAGCAAACAGGAUUAGAUACCCUGGUAGUCCACGCCGUAAACGAUGAGUGCUAAGUGUUAGAGGGUUUCCGCCCUUUAGUGCUGAAGUUAACGCAUUAAGCACUCCGCCUGGGGAGUACGGCCGCAAGGCUGAAAUUCAAAGGAAUUGACGGGGGCCCGCACAAGCGGUGGAGCAUGUGGUUUAAUUCGAAGCAACGCGAAGAACCUUACCAGGUCUUGACAUCCUCUGACAACCCUAGAGAUAGGGCUUCUCCUUCGGGAGCAGAGUGACAGGUGGUGCAUGGUUGUCGUCAGCUCGUGUCGUGAGAUGUUGGGUUAAGUCCCGCAACGAGCGCAACCCUUGAUCUUAGUUGCCAUCAUUAAGUUGGGCACUCUAAGGUGACUGCCGGUGACAAACCGGAGGAAGGUGGGGAUGACGUCAAAUCAUCAUGCCCCUUAUGACCUGGGCUACACACGUGCUACAAUGGCACGGUACAAAGAGCUGCAAGACCGCGAGGUGGAGCUAAUCUCAUAAAACCGUUCUCAGUUCGGAUUGUAGGCUGCAACUCGCCUACAUGAAGCUGGAAUCGCUAGUAAUCGCGAUCACUACCCCGGGUGA